CACGCCAUAAACGAUGAGUGCUAGGUGUUGGGGGUCAAACCUCGGUGCCGCAGUUAACGCAUUAAGCACUCCGUCUGGGGAGUACGUUCGCAAGAAUAAAACUCAAAGGAAUUGACGGGGACCCGCACAAGCAGCGGAGCAUGUGGUUUAAUUCGAAGCAACGCGAAGAACCUUACCUGGAUUUGACAUCCCUCUGACCGCUUUUUAAUCAAGGCCUUCCCUUCGGGGACUGAGGAGACAGGUGG
rnacentral:rRNA from 1 species